rnacentral:rRNA from 1 species
GAUGAACGCUGGCGGCGUGCCUAAUACAUGCAAGUCGAGCGAACAGACGAGGAGCUUGCUCCUCUGACGUUAGCCGCAGGCGUGUGAGUAACACGUGUAUACUCUCCCUAUCAGUCGGGUAUAACUUCGGGAAACCGGAGCUUAUACCGGAUAAUAUAUUGCACCGCAUGGUUCAUUGGUGAGAGACGGCGUUUGUGUCUCUUAUAGAUGCUUCCGGGCCGGAUUAGCUAGUUGGUAAGGUAACGGCUUACCAAGGCUACCAGGCGUAGCCGACGUGAGGGGGUGAUAGCCCACCUGAGAAGUGAGACAGGGACAAGACUCCUACGGGAGGCAGCAGAAGGGAAUCGUACGCAGUGGGCGAAAGCCUGGCGGAGCAACGCCGCGCGAGUGAUGACGGUCUUCGGAUCGUAAAAAUCUGUUAUUAGGGAAGAACAAAUGUGUAAGUAACUAUGCACGUCUUGACGGUACCGAAUCAGAAAGCCACGGCUAACUACGUG